GCGUGCGUGCGAGCGAGCGCCGCGGGGGCGUCCCGGGGGAGGGCGAGGGCGUGCGCCGCCGAUCCGAUCCGCUUCGCCGCCCUAAGUUCCGAGGCCGUUCGAGGUAGGUCUCCGUCCGACUUCUACCUCAGCGCCCUCUCCGCCGCAUCCAGGGACUCCGCCGCCGCCGCCAACCCCGCCUCCGAUCCCAGCCUCUUCGAAUCCGCUUACAUUCAACAGUUGAAGUCAAGUAGGAUUAGGCUAAGCCAGCUUGCACAGCAAGUUCACGUGGCAAGAGUACAGAUGCCUUUUGAUCUGUUCUGUGAUAUAUCUCCCACGAGUAAGAAUUGGAAGAUCUGUGCAACAAUAGCAAGGAAUGAAUCUUGUCAGAGGAACAUCGCGUUUCAAGUCAAUAGCAUUGAAACUUCUUUGGCAGACAAGGCACUAUUCCACAGAGAAAGUGAGUGUCCUGAUCAUACUUCGACACCGCCUGCUUCUUCUAAUACCCCUGUGGGUGAUAUGGAGAAAGCCCAUGCUGAUAGCAGGAAACGACGCCCCAUUAUGCGCCUUCCUCUAGGUGCAUCGAAGAAGCUAACUUUUGAGGUGGGCGCGUCCGAAGGAAAGGAUAUAGAUACAGCUGUUGUUUCAGAAAGGCAAUGGACGCGUUUGAAUCAAGUCCUUAGUUAUGUGCUCUGCUCUUGUUCUGUGAUUCUUGUUCACGCGAAGGUCACUGACUUUACGCGCAGACCAGCUGCAAUCGCACAAGGAUAUCAGCUGGAGGAUGGCCAGAGACUCAAAUUAGUAACAACCCAUAACCUAAUGGUCUACAUUGAACUAAAGAGAGCAUCUGGCAAAAUAUACAUCACUACAGGAUGGCCCCAGUUCAUAGAAGCCACUGGUUUGCAGCUUAAAGAAUAUGUGGUUUUCAAAGUCUUAUCACGCUCCAAGAUGCAUGCAACACCAAACGCACUAUCAAUGAAAUGUGCUUCUGCACCGGGGAGGGACAUCAAUCUAUCAACUGAACUCAAAGACUACUUCAAAGAUAUUGCGCAAUUUCUGCACCCCUCAAACGAAUUCUAUGUCACAACCAUAAAUCCAACUUUCAUGAAGCAGGAUAAGCACUUUUCAAAGCAAUUCUCUAUGACAUACAUUGCACUAAUCGUGCGGAAGAAGACAUCGCAGAUCGAAGUACGGAUUCCAGGGCACUCCUCAACCACCAUGGUUCUUCACCACUCCACAGAAAAGCGCUUUAACCUGAAAUCAGGAUGGACCCAUUUUCCAACAAGCAACGGCAUACAAGUUGGAACAAUCUGCAUCUUUCACUUCCACCAGACUAAUCAGCUGCAAGCAACAAUAGAUGUGCUGUGAGCAAGAUGCUCAUGCAACACAAGCUGUUAUCCUUUUAAUAUCGUAGGCUAUAUUUUCACUCUGCUACUUCUAUAGCUGUUAGUAUCAUUCUUUGUAUGCUUUGCAUGGGUACUCAAUUUCCAUGUAAAAAUCACGCCCAAACUAUUAUGCCAGCGUGCUGUUACAGAACAGGAGCUGACGGUACCUUACGUACUGUCUUUGGUUGUUUUGCUUGUACUUAUAUGCAACCAAAGACAAUUCACCCUGUCCUGUAUGAACAACCAUGCUAUCAUAUUCUGUUUCACCUUU
rnacentral:lncRNA from 1 species